rnacentral:piRNA from 2 species
GUGGUUGCUGGGAAUUGAACUCAAGA